rnacentral:rRNA from 1 species
AACACAUGCAAGUCGGACGCGAAAGCUCCNUUCGGGAGUGAGUAGAGUGGCGCACGGGUGAGUAACGCGUAGGUAAUCUACCUCUGGAUUGGGGAUAACUCUGCGAAAGCGGAGCUAAUACCGAAUGGUCUGGCUUUAUUUUGAUGAAGUCGGUAAAGGAUGCCUCUGCAUAUGCAUCUGUCCGGAGAUGAGCCUGCGUCCCAUUAGCUAGUUGGUAGGGUAAAGGCCUACCAAGGCGACGAUGGGUAGCUGGUCUGAGAGGAUGAUCAGCCACACUGGAACUGGAACACGGUCCAGACUCCUACGGGAGGCAGCAGUGGGGAAUAUUGGGCAAUGGGCGCAAGCCUGACCCAGCAACGCCGUGUGAGGGAUGAAGGCCUUCGGGUCGUAAACCUCUGUCAGAAGGGAAGAACGGGCACAGUUCGAAUAGGGCUGUGUUUUGACGGUACCUUCAGAGGAAGCACCGGCUAACUCCGUGCCAGCAGCCGCGGUAAUACGGAGGGUGCGAGCGUUAUUCGGAAUCACUGGGCGUAAAGGGCGCGUAGGCGGCCUGGUAAGUCAGGGGUGAAAUCCCACGGCUCAACCGUGGAAUUGCCUUUGAAACUGCUGGGCUUGGAUCCUGGAGAGGGUGGCGGAAUUCCUGGUGUAGGAGUGAAAUCCGUAGAUAUCAGGAGGAACACCGGUGGCGAAGGCGGCCGCCUGGACAGGUAUCGACGCUGAGGCGCGAAAGUGUGGGGAGCAAACAGGAUUAGAUACCCUGGUAGUCCACACCGUAAACGAUGGAUACUAGGUGUUGGGGGCAUGACCCUCAGUGCCGGAGCUAACGCGUUAAGUAUCCCGCCUGGGGAGUACGG